UACAGGGGGGGCAAGCGUUGUUCGGAAUUACUGGGCGUAAAGGGUCAGUAGGCGGCCAACUAAGUCCGACGUGAAAUCCCAAAGCUUAACUUUGGAACUGCGUCGGAUACUGGAUGGCUUGAAUUCGGGAGAGGGAUGCAGAAUUCCAGGUGUAGCGGUGAAAUGCGUAGAUAUCGGGAGGAACACCGGUGGCGAAGGCGGCUUCCUGGACUGUCCCUGACGCUGAGGCGCGAAAGCGUGGGUAGCAAACAGG
rnacentral:rRNA from 1 species